AGCGAACGCUGGCGGCAGGCCUAACACAUGCAAGUCGAACGAACUCUUCGGAGUUAGUGGCGGACGGGUGAGUAACACGUGGGAACGUGCCUUUUGGUUCGGAAUAACUCAGGGAAACUUGUGCUAAUACCGAAUGUGCCCUUCGGGGGAAAGAUUUAUCGCCAUUAUAGCGGCCCGCGUCUGAUUAGCUAGUUGGUGAGGUAACGGCUCACCAAGGCGACGAUCAGUAGCUGGUCUGAGAGGAUGACCAGCCACACUGGGACUGAGACACGGCCCAGACUCCUACGGGAGGCAGCAGUGGGGAAUCUUGCGCAAUGGGCGAAAGCCUGACGCAGCCAUGCCGCGUGAAUGAUGAAGGUCUUAGGAUUGUAAAAUUCUUUCACCGGGGACGAUAAUGACGGUACCCGGAGAAGAAGCCCCGGCUAACUUCGUG
rnacentral:rRNA from 1 species